rnacentral:rRNA from 1 species
GACGAACGCUGGCGGCGUGCUCAACACAUGCCAGUCGAACGGAAAGGCCUUGCUUGCAGGGUACUCGCGUGGCGAACGGGUGAGUAACACGUUGGUGAUCUGCCCUGCACUUCGGGCUAAGCUCGGGAAACUGGGUCCAAUACUGGAUAGGAACCAUCCUUAGUGUGGCUGUUGGCACGUCUUUUCGGUGUAGGAUGAGCUCGCGGCCUAUCAGCUUGUUGGUGGGGUAAUGGCCUACCAAGGCGGCGACGGGUAGCCGGCCUGAGAGGGUGUACGGCCACAUUGGAACUGAGAUACGGCCCAGACGCCUACCGGAGGCAGCAGUGGAGAAUAGUGCACAAUGAGCGCAAGCCUGAUGCAGCGACGCCGCGUGGGGGUUGAAGGGCUUCGGGUUGUAAACUCCUUGCGCUUGUGACGAAGCUUUGCUUUGGCGGUACCUAGAUAAGAAGCACCGGCUAACUACGUG